rnacentral:pre_miRNA from 1 species
AUAGUAGGUUGGGACAAAAGUAAUUGUGGAUUUUGUCACAAUAGGCAUGGCUCAAAACGCAAUUACUUUUGCACCAACCUAAUAU